rnacentral:rRNA from 1 species
UACGGAGGAUCCAAGCGUUAUCCGGAAUUACUGGGCGUAAAGAGUUGCGUAGGUGGCAUGGCAAGUUGGUAGUGAAAGCGUUCGGCUCAACCGGAUACACAUUACUAAAACUGCCAAGCUAGAGGACAAGAGAGGUCACUGGAAUUCCUAGUGUAGGAGUGAAAUCCGUAGAUAUUAGGAGGAACACCGAUGGCGUAGGCAGGUGACUGGCUUGUUCCUGACACUAAGGCACGAAAGCGUGGGUAGCAAACGGG